rnacentral:rRNA from 1 species
GAGACUCUGUGCGCGUGCAUAUCAAUAAGCGGAGGAAAAGAAACUAACAAGGAUUCCCUUAGUAACGGCGAGUGAAGCGGGAAGAGCUCAAAUUUGAAAUCUUCAAGGUUCUACCUUGACGAAUUGUAGUUUAUAGAAGUGUUUUCUGUUAGUGGAGUGGCAAAAGUUCUUUGGAAUAGGACAUCAUAGAGGGUGAGAAUCCCGUAUUUGGUCAUUCCUCCUAGCGUUGUGAUACACUUUCAACGAGUCGGAUUGUUUGGGAAUGCAGUCCAAAAUGGGUGGUAAAUUUCAUCUAAAGCUAAAUAUUGGCGAGAGACCGAUAGCGAACAAGUACCGUGAGGGAAAGAUGAAAAGAACUUUGAAAAGAGAGUUAAACAGUACGUGAAAUUGUCAAAAGGGAAGCGUUUGACACCAGUGUUGUUUUUCCGAAAAUCAAUUACGAAUGUUUUAGUUUUUGAGGAGUUAUGACUUCAUCGGCUUGCUCCUUUCUUUAUGAAACUUUCUUAAUGCACUUUUCGGUUAACAAGUCAACAUCAAUUUCUUUUGUUGUAAAAGGGUAUGAGGAAGGUGGCUUUACUUUUCGGAGUAAAGUGUUUAUAGCCUUGUACCUCUGCAAUCGGAGAGAUUGAGGUCUGCAGCGUAGAUCCUUCGGGGUUAGAUACGUUUGUGCUAAGUUAUAGCUUUUCAUAGACAACUUGUUGACUAUGUUUAGUCUUGUAGCUUACUCGCUGACGCUAUUUUACCUACGCUUAGGAUGUUGACAGCAGUAUAGACUGU